rnacentral:rRNA from 1 species
AGAGUUUGAUCCUGGCUCAGGAUGAACGCUGGCGGCGUGCUUAACACAUGCAAGUCGAGCGGAAAUAUUUUAAAUGAAGGCUUCGGUUGGUUUAGCGGCGGACGGGUGAGUAACGUGUGGGUAACCUGCCAUAUACUGGGGAAUAAUCAUUUGAAAAGAUGACUAAUACCGCAUGUCGUCACUAAGGGGCAUCUCUUGGUGAAAAAAGGAGUAAUCCGGUAUAUGAUGGACCCGCAUCUGAUUAGCUAGUUGGUGAGAUAACAGCUCACCAAGGCGACGAUCAGUAGCCGACCUGAGAGGGUGAUCGGCCACAUUGGGACUGAGACACGGCCCAAACUCCUACGGGAGGCAGCAGUGGGGAAUAUUGCACAAUGGGCGAAAGCCUGAUGCAGCAACGCCGCGUGAAGGAAGAAGGGUUUCGGCUCGUAAACUUCUAUCAAUGGGGAAGAAACAAAUGACGGUACCCAAAUAAGAAGCCCCGGCUAACUACGUGCCAGCAGCCGCGGUAAUACGUAGGGGGCAAGCGUUAUCCGGAAUUACUGGGUGUAAAGGGAGCGUAGGCGGCAUGGUAAGCCAGAUGUGAAAGCCCGAAGCUUAACUUCGGGAUUGCAUUUGGAACUAUCAAGCUAGAGUACAGGAGAGGUAAGUGGAAUUCCUAGUGUAGCGGUGAAAUGCGUAGAUAUUAGGAAGAACACCAGUGGCGAAGGCGACUUACUGGACUGAAACUGACGCUGANGCUCGAAAGCGUGGGGAGCGAACAGGAUUAGAUACCCUGGUAGUCCACGCCGUAAACGAUGAGUGCUAGUGUCGGAGGGGAACCUUCGGUGCCGCAGCUAACGCAAUAAGCACUCCACCUGGGGAGUACGAUCGCAAGAUUGAAACUCAAAGGAAUUGACGGGGGCCCGCACAAGCGGUGGAGAUUGUUGUUUAAUUCGAAGC